GAUGAAGAACGCAGCGAAAUGCGAUAAGUAAUGUGAAUUGCAGAAUUCCGUGAAUCAUCGAAUCUUUGAACGCACAUUGCGCCCCCUGGCAUUCCGGGGGGCAUGCCUGUCCGAGCGUCAUUUCUGCCCUCCAGCCCGGCUGGGUGUUGGGCGCUGUCCCCCCGGGGACACGCCCCAAAGGCAGUGGCGGCGCCGCGUCGGGUCCUCGAGCGUAUGGGGCUUUGUCACCCGCUCGGGACGGACUCGUCGGCGCUGGUCUUCCUCCAGGCGACCCUUCGGGGCUCGUCUUCCUUCGGUUGACCUCGGAUCAGGUAGGGUUACCCGCUGAACUUAAGAAUAUCAAUAAGCGGAGGA
rnacentral:misc_RNA from 1 species